UACAGAGGGGGCAAGCGUUGUUCGGAAUUACUGGGCGUAAAGGGCGCGUAGGCGGCCUGCUAAGUCGAACGUGAAAUCCCCGGGCUCAACCCGGGAACUGCGUCCGAUACUGGCAGGCUUGAAUUCGGGAGAGGGAUGCGGAAUUCCAGGUGUAGCGGUGAAAUGCGUAGAUAUCUGGAGGAACACCGGUGGCGAAGGCGGCAUCCUGGACCAACAUUGACGCUGAGGAGCGAAAGCUAGGGGAGCAAACGGG
rnacentral:rRNA from 1 species